UGCUCCCUGGAGUGUGCGAUAGCUGGCAAUGUCCCUGUGCCGAUAUCUUUGACCUUAGGGUUACUGUUUUUACUGACAUUGAGCAUGCUCGGCGCGAACCGAGAAGCCUUAGGAUGUAAUCAGUGACCCGACCUUGAACUUCUGGUUCAAGGGCUUACGCCGGUUAACGGCACUUUGGGGAGCAU
rfam:Shewanella sp. YQH10 contig1, whole genome shotgun sequence.